rnacentral:rRNA from 1 species
GAUGAACGCUGGCGGCGUGCCUAAUACAUGCAAGUCGAGCGAACGGACGAGAAGCUUGCUUCUCUGAUGUUAGCGGCGGACGGGUGAGUAACACGUGGAUAACCUACCUAUAAGACUGGGAUAACUUCGGGAAACCGGAGCUAAUACCGGAUAAUAUUUUGAACCGCAUGGUUCAAAAGUGAAAGACGGUCUUGCUGUCACUUAUAGAUGGAUCCGCGCUGCAUUAGCUAGUUGGUAAGGUAACGGCUUACCAAGGCAACGAUGCAUAGCCGACCUGGGAGGGGGAUCGGCCGCACGGGAACGGAGCCACGGACCAGACUCCUACGGGAGGCAGCAGUAGGGAAUGUGCCGCAAUGGGCGAAAGCCUGACGGAGCAACGCCGCGUGAGAGAUGAAGGUCUUCGGAGCGUAAAACUCUGUUAUUAGGGAAGAACAUAUGUGUAAGUAACUGUGCACAGCUUGACGGUACCUAAUCAGAAAGCCACGGCUAACUACGUG